rnacentral:lncRNA from 1 species
UGAGAUUUGAGUGAUCACAUAACUCUUGCCUUAAUUCCCCCGACAGUGGGUGGUAUGGUCCCAUGUUCUGUCUCCGUCCUGCCUCACUGCUAGGAGCUAUUCUUACCUGACCUAAGAGAAAUGGAAAGCUCUGACAUUAAAAGGAUGUGUGUCCCGUGCUGUGUGUCUUCUGCAGAUGAACCCUUGUCUCGAGAGUUCCAGCCAUGAGGCUGCUGUAAGAUCCUUACAGGCUCAACUGUUUGGGUUAGAGCGGACCUCUUCCAUGUACUCUGAGAAAGUUCUGAUGACAGUGAAUUUGGGCUCUUAACUUCCAGAUGCCUAUCUCCAUGCUCUGCCCAUCUUUGGGUGUGUUCUGCCACCUGCUGUUGGUUAACUGAGGGAGCUGAGCACCAACUACAUUGCUGGACUCCGACUUCUCACCCCUCACUUUAGGAGAACCUGGUUUUCGAGAUGGAAUCAUUUCCAAGGUUUAUCACAGCAACACAGCAUUGACAUAAGAUGUAUGACUUCCCCCUUUUGGACAACACACAAUAUCAGGGGCUGAAUUUACUGGGUUGAUGAAAAACUGUGCAAGGCCAAUGAACAGACGUUUCCCAAGACACUAUCUACCAGGUAACAGGCCACGGUGUUUCUGGAGAGCUGAGAUAUGCAAAUGAGAGCGGGUGUUCGGAGUGGGCCGUGUCCAAACUCUGAUGUGGUGGUCUCAGGAUUGGGAGAUCCAGCCCAUCGGGCUCCAAGCUCAGCACAAAGUCGGCCUGAUACUCCCUUCUCUCUCUCUCUCUGUCUUUCUGCCCCUCCCUCUCUAUCUCUCCAAAAUAAAUAAUUAAAUCUUAAAAAACAAAAAUUCUCUCUCUCUUAAAAAAAAAAGUAAUAAUAAUACCAACUCUUGCUUAAAUAGACCAGUUUGUGAUGUUUUGUUUGUAGCCCUAGGAAAGUAACACAUUGCCCAAGAAGUUUAAAAAAAUAACAUGGUAAUUAUCCAGGAGGCAGAGCCAAAAGACAGCUUGAAAACAUAGAAAGUUAAGGCAGCAAUUCCUCAUAAUUUAUAAUUGGAAGUUUUAUUUGUUUUGAUUUCUCUGGUAUCUUCAUAAGUGUUAUGUUAUUGAAUACUUCUUUAAGCAUAAUGUAUAUUGCAUUUAGUACUUAAGGUUACACACAUUUAGGAUAAAAUUAUAAGAACAUAGAUGAACGUAUCAAUACCUACUUUGGGAUUGUAUUUAACUUGGAAGAAGGUAAAAAGCAUAAACAAAUGGAUUCUAUGAGGAAUUCAGCAACUUCAAUCACAUUUUGCUUCAGAAAAACUGAAAUAGCUAUGUGACAUUUUUAACAUUUGUUACAUCUAGGUAACAGCUACCUUGGUGUUUGUUACAAUAUUCUCUGUACUUUUAUUAUCUUUUUUACUGUGAUCAAAAAUAUACCACCU